GGAUCUACUCUUUACGGGUUCUCAAAAAUGCCAGUCGAUCGCUGAAGCCUGGUGCUUGCACGGGUGGAUGAGUGGCGAACGGGUGAGUAACACGUGAGUAACCUGCCCCUGACUUCGGGAUAAGCCCGGGAAACUGGGUCUAAUACCGGAUACGACUGCCGGACGCAUGUCUGGUGGUGGAAAGUUUUUUCGGUUGGGGAUGGGCUCGCGGCCUAUCAGUUUGUUGGUGAGGUAAUGGCUCACCAAGACGACGACGGGUAGCCGGCCUGAGAGGGCGACCGGCCACACUGGGACUGAGACACGGCCCAGACUCCUACGGGAGGCAGCAGUGGGGAAUAUUGCACAAUGGGGGAAACCCUGAUGCAGCGACGCAGCGUGCGGGAUGACGGCCUUCGGGUUGUAAACCGCUUUCAGCAGGGAAGAAGCGCAAGUGACGGUACCUGCAGAAGAAGUACCGGCUAACUACGUGCCAGCAGCCGCGGUAAUACGUAGGGUACGAGCGUGGUCCGGAAUUAUUGGGCGUAAAGAGCUCGUAGGUGGUUGGUCACCUCUGCUGUGGAAACGCAACGCUUAACGUUGCGCGUGCAGUGGGUACGGGCUGACUAUAGUGCAGUAGGGGAGUCUGGAAUUCCUGGUGUAGCGGUGAAAUGCGCAGAUAUCAGGAGGAACACCCGUGGCUAAGGGGGGACUCUGGGCUGUAAUUUAUACUAAGGAUCCAAAUCAUGGGGAGCGAAC
rnacentral:rRNA from 1 species